rnacentral:rRNA from 1 species
GACGAACGCUGGCGGCGUGCUUAACACAUGCAAGUCGAACGGAAAGGCCCUGCUUGCAGGGUAUUCGAGUGGCGAACGGGUGAGUAACACGUGGGUGAUAUGCCCUGCACUUCGGGAUAAGCCUGGGAAAAUGGGUCUAAUACCGGAUAGGAGCAACUUUUAGUGUGAUGGUUGGAAUGUUUUUUCGUUGUAGGAUGGGCUCGCGGCCUAUCAGCUUGUUGGUGGGGUAAUGGCUAACCAAGGCGGCGACGGGUAGCCGGCCUGAGAGGGUGGACGGCCACAUUGGGACUGAGAUACGGCCCAGACUCCUACGGGAGGCAGCAGUGGGGAAUAUUGCACAAUGGGCGAAAGCCUGAUGCAGCGACGCCGCGUGAGGAAGACGGCCUUCGGGUUGGAAACUCCUUUCGCGAAGGACGAAACUGUUUGUGACGGUACCUAGAUAAGAAGCACCGGCUAACUACGUG